GACAGAGGGUGCAAACGUUGUUCGGAAUUACUGGGCGUAAAGCGCGUGUAGGCGGCUCUGCAAGUCGGGUGUGAAAUCCCAUGGCUCAACCAUGGAAGUGCACUCGAAACUGCAGGGCUAGAGUCCUGGAGAGGAAGGUGGAAUGCUUGGUGUAGAGGUGAAAUUCGUAGAUAUCAAGCGGAACACCGGUGGCGAAGGCGGCCUUCUGGACAGUGACUGACGCUGAGACGCGAAAGCGUGGGGAGCGAACAGG
rnacentral:rRNA from 1 species